GUUAAUAUUCCCGUACUUCUUACAAUUGCGAUGGGGGGGACGGAGAAGGCUAGGUGGGCCUGGCGACGGUUGUCCAGGUUCAAGUGCGUAGGCUUAAGAGUUAGGUAAAUCCGGCUCUUUUUAAGGCUGAGACACGACGUCGAGCUACUACGGUAGUGAAGUCAUUGAUGCCAUGCUUCCAGGAAAAGCCUCUAAGCUUCAGAUUGUAAGGAAUCGUACCCCAAACCGACACAGGUGGUCGGGUAGAGAAUACCAAGGCGCUUGAGAGAACUCGGGUGAAGGAACUAGGCAAAAUGGUACCGUAACUUCGGGAGAAGGUACGCUCUUGAUGGUGAAGUCCCUCGCGGAUGGAGCUGACGAGAGUCGCAGAUACCAGGUGGCUGCAACUGUUUAUUAAAAACACAGCACUGUGCAAAAUCGUAAGAUGACGUAUACGGUGUGACGCCUGCCCGGUGCCGGAAGGUUAAUUG
rnacentral:rRNA from 1 species